rnacentral:rRNA from 1 species
AUUGAACGCUAGCGGGAUGCUUUACACAUGCAAGUCGAACGGCAGCGCGGACUUCGGUCUGGCGGCGAGUGGCGAACGGGCGAGUAAUGUAUCGGAACGUGCCCAGUAGAGGGGGCUAACUACGCGAAAGCGUAGCUAAUACAGCAUACGCUAUACGGGGGAACGGCGGGGAUCGUAAGAGAUUGGCCUAUUGGAGGGGCCGGUAAGGGAUUAGCUAGUUGGUGAGGUAACGGCUCACCAAGGCGACGAUCCGUAGCUGGUCUGAGAGGCCGACCAGCCACACUGGAACUGAGACACGGCCCAGACUCCUACGGGAGGCAGCAGUGGGGAAUUUUGGGCAAUGGGGGCAAGCCUGAUCCAGCCAUCCCGCGUGUGUGAUGAAGGCCUUCGGGUUGUAAAGCACUUUUGUCAGGAAAGAAACGUCGCGGGCUAAUACCCCGUGAAACUGACGGUACCUGCAGAAUAAGCACCGGCUAACUACGUG